rnacentral:rRNA from 1 species
GUCGGUUUGGCCGGAUUUCACACAGGUGUUGCAUGGCUGUCGUCAGCUCGUGUCGUGAGAUGUUGGGUUAAGUCCCGCAACGAGCGUAACCCUCAUCCUUAGUUACCAUCAGAUAAUGCUGGGGACUUUAAGGAAACUGCUAGUGAUAAACUGGAGGAAGGUGGGGAUGAUGUCAAGUCAUCAUGGCCCUUAUGGAGUGGGCUACACACGUGCUACAAUGGUGGCUACAAUGGGCUGCAAAGUCGCGAGGCUGAGCUAAUCUCUUAAAAGCCAUCUCAGUUCGGAUUGUACUCUGCAACUCGAGUGCAUGAAGUUGGAAUCGCUAGUAAUCGUGGAUCAGCAUGCCACGGUGAAUACGUUCUCGGGUCUUGUACACACUGCCCGUCACGCC